UUUCCGUAGGUGAACCUGCGGAAGGAUCAUUCAUAAUAAGUGUUUUCUGGCACUUUUUUAAAUCCAUAUCCACCUUGUGUGCAAUGACAGCGUUGGUUUGUUUUGAUCAACCCCAAACAUGAAAUAUUAUCUUAACUCUUUGUCUGAAAAAUAUCAUGAACAAAACAAUUCAAAAUACAACUUUCAACAACGGAUCUCUUGGCUCUC
rnacentral:misc_RNA from 1 species